UUUUUUCCUCUUUUUUUUCUUUGGGGCCACACUGCUUGGCCUAGUCCCUUUUUACCCCCAUGUGUAGUGAACAGCAUGCUGAAUAACUGCAGUGGUUUCCUCCCAGCAAGGCAGCAUACAGUGGCAGACCUCAGUCAUUUCCAGUCUUGAAACUGGCAAGAGCUAGCAUGUGUUCUGCAGUCUGGGUCCACUAACCUGCUAAAAUUAGAUGCCCUAACCAUUGCAGUAUUUUUUCCUUAUCAUAACAUGCAAUUUUGCCCUUGUUAUUUUGUAGAAUGUAAUGCUUUACAUUUGAACAAGCAUGUCCUCUAUGAUGGGGUUCUGGUUUUCCUCCUUUUUAGACAAGCCAAAUAACUGGCGGGGGUGGCAGGGUGGGUGUAUAGCAGGGAAAUGGGCAGGUGCUUGGAGUAAUUUCCGUUGCUUAUGUUUUCCUGUUUCAUUUUGUUUGAGUUUUGUUGUUGUUUAAGGGAUUCUCACCAUUAUUUCCCCAGAAUUAGACUGUAUUUAGGAGCUUUAUUUUAACCAUCCUGUGUCAGUACUAAAACAGUAGGUCCAGAGCAGCAGAUAAAUGUUGAGACACCAGAUGACUUUUUUGGGGGGUUUCAUGUCGUCCUGCAGGCUGAGCUAACGGAUUGAAGACCCUUAAUAGUAAUGGACAGCGCAGGCUCCAAGGAAUUGGAACUUUGUCAAAAGUUUAAGCUGUUGUCACUCUUGAAAGGAAACUUUGAAGACAGAUACUUGGGAGAGGAAAAAACCAAGAGGAUAGCUCAUCAGGAAACUCGCAACUGGAUGUGAUGUAGCUGCUUUAAAAGUAAAGGUUGAAGGGAAACUAAAACCAUACCAAUCCUAAGGCUACUUCAGACACCAAGAAAUAGCAGAGGGGAAAAGAAAAAAAACCCACACAAAUCUAUGCAGCAGUUGUCUUUGUGAUGGUGAUGACUAAGCCAGAGAGAUCAAAAGCCGUGAGGUGGUUUUCUGAAGACUGAAACUGAGUGAACAGUAAAGACAGCCUGAGAGAAAGUAAGCAAUCACAUUGUGUUGGUGUUAUGCUUGAUUCUAAGACUGUAAUUCCUGUUGCCCAAAUUGGAGCCCUGCCAUGUUUGCAGAGUUUGAACUUCAUCAUGCUGUCUUGUUUUGCUGCCUGUGUGAGCUCUUAAGAGUUCAGAUUGUGUUAAAUGCUGUACAUUGUUAUGUCUUUGAAAGAUAUUUUCCACUAUA